GGGGAUUUAGCUCAGCGGUAGAGCGCUUGCCUAGCAAGCACAAGGGCCUGGGUUCGAUCCCCAGCUCUG
rnacentral:tRNA from 1 species